ACGGAAGGCAGCAGUGGGGAAUAUUGCACAAUGGGGGAAACCCUGAUGCAGCGACGCCGCGUGAGUGAAGAAGUUAUUCGUAAUGUAAAGCUCUAUCAGCAGGGAAGAAAAUGACGGUACCUGACUAAGAAGCCCCGGCUAACUACGUGCCAGCAGCCGCGGUAAUACGUCGGGGGCAAGCGUUAUCCGGAUUUACUGGGUGUAAAGGGAGCGUAGACGGUCUAGCAAGUCUGAUGUGAAAGGCAGGGGCUCAACUCCUGGACUGCAUUGGAAACUGUUAGUCUUGAGUGUCGGAGAGGUAAGCGGAAUUCCUAGUGUAGCGGUGAAAUGCGUAGAUAUUAGGAGGAACACCAGUGGCGAAGGCGGCUUACUGGACGAUAACUGACGUUGAGGCUCGAAAGCGUGGGGAGCAAACAGGAUUAGAUACCCUGGUA
rnacentral:rRNA from 1 species